AUUGAACGCUGGCGGCAGGCCUAACACAUGCAAGUCGAGCGUGCGGCGGACGGGUGAGUAAUGCCUGGGUAUUGCUCAGUCGAGGGGGAUAACAGUUGGAAACGACAGCUAAUACCGCAUACGAUUGGAUUGCCCAGGUGGCAUUAGCUCGGUGGGGAGGUAAUGGCCUACCAAGCCGACGAGCCCUAGCUGGUCUGAGAGGAGGAUCAGCGACACGGGAACUGAGAAACGGUCCAGACUCCUACGGGAGGAAGCAGGAGGGAAUGUUGCACAAAGGGGGAAACCCUGAUGCAGCAAUGCCGCGUGUGUGAAGAAGGCCUUCGGGUUGUAAAGCUCUUUCAGCGAGGAGGCGUUACUCGCAGAAGAAGCACCGGCUAACUCCGUGCCAGCAGCCGCGGUAAUAC
rnacentral:rRNA from 1 species